GAUGAACGCUGGCGGCGUGCCUUAUACAUGCAAGUCGAGUGGGUUUAGACCCACGGCAAACGGGUGAGUAACACGUAGGUACUUUCCUUGUCACAGGAAUAACCCUCCGAAAGGAGGGCUAAUACCUGAUGUGAUCGCAAGAUUAAAGGGUAUCCGCAAGGAUUACCGGACAAGAAGAGGCCUGCGGCCUAUCAGCUAGUUGGCGGGGUAAAUGCCCACCAAGGCUAUGACGGGUAGCUGGUCUUAUGAGGAUGAUCAGUCACAUGGGCACUGAGACACGGGCCCAACCCCUCGGGGGGGCCGCGGUAGGGAAUUUUGCCCAAGGGGCGAAAGCCUGACGCAGCGACGCCGCGUGCGGGAUGAAGGCCUUCGGGUCGUAAACCCUUUUUAUAAGGGACGAACUUUGACGGUACCUUAUGAAAAAGGGGUUGCAAACUCUGU
rnacentral:rRNA from 1 species